rnacentral:rRNA from 1 species
UACAGAGGGGGCAAGCGUUGUUCGGAAUUACUGGGCGUAAAGGGCGCGUAGGCGGCCUUCUAAGUCGAACGUGAAAUCCCCGGGCUCAACCCGGGAACUGCGUCCGAUACUGGAAGGCUUGAAUCCGGGAGAGGGAUGCGGAAUUCCAGGUGUAGCGGUGAAAUGCGUAGAUAUCUGGAGGAACACCGGUGGCGAAGGCGGAUCUCUGGGCCGCAACUGACGCUGAGGAGCGAAAGCAUGGGAGCGAACAGG